UACGGAGGGAGCUAGCGUUGUUCGGAAUCACUGGGCGUAAAGCGCACGUAGGCGGCCUUUCAAGUCAGGGGUGAAAUCCCGGGGCUCAACCCCGGAACUGCCCUUGAAACUGGAUCGCUUGAAUCUUGGAGAGGCGAGUGGAAUUCCGAGUGUGGAGGUGAAAUUCGUAGAUAUUCGGAAGAACACCAGUGGCGAAGGCGGCUCGCUGGACAAGUAUUGACGCUGAGGUGCGAAAGCGUGGGGAGCAAACAGG
rnacentral:misc_RNA from 1 species